rnacentral:rRNA from 1 species
AGAGUUUGAUCCUGGCUCAGGAUGAACGCUAGCGGCAGGCCUAAUACAUGCAAGUCGGGCGGCAAGUUGAGGAGCAAUCCGAGACCUAGAGCGGCGGACGGGUGCGUAACGCGUAUGCAACCUGCCCCUUACCGGGGGAUAGCCCGGGGAAACCCGGAUUAAUACCCCAUAGUAUUCAGACACCGCAUGGUGAUUGUAUUAAAGAUUCAUCGGUAGGGGAUGGGCAUGCGUAGGAUUAGUUAGUUGGCGGGGUAACGGCCCACCAAGACUUUGAUCCUUAGGGGUUCUGAGAGGAAGGUCCCCCACACUGGCACUGAGAUACGGGCCAGACUCCUACGGGAGGCAGCAGUAGGGAAUAUUGGGCAAUGGGCGGGAGCCUGACCCAGCCAUGCCGCGUGCAGGAAGAAGGCGUUAUGCGUUGUAAACUGCUUUUAUACGGGAAGAAAAGGCCCAUGCGUGGGACAUUGCCGGUACCGUGUGAAUAAGCACCGGCUAACUCCGUGCCAGCCGCCGCUAUUC